CCCCCUUCGAACCAAACGACUUUUGUCUGAAACAUUUUUCUCUGAAACGACGUCGUAUCGAAAUAUUUUACUGACAAAUAUAAAAUGGGACACCCAUAUAUAUACGAAGAAGAUUCAUAAAAAUCCGUAAGAACUGCGCGUUACGUGAUUCGAUAUAACAACACGUACGUCCAGUUUAACGCAAUGUCGACUGUGUUUAUGCUGACUCUGCUUUAUAUUCGCUAAUAUUUAUGCAGUCAUUUUGCAUUCGCAGCGCGGCGAUACGGCGCGCAUUUACACGAAUUUAUUUUCUCUGCCCACCGCGGUGAUAUUACUGCGCAAUAAUUCGUCGCCGAUACUUUCGAAGAAUACAGCCGGCAGAAACGGUUCCGGCGACAAAAUGAUUACGUAAUGGCACCAAGGGUCUCAAAGGUCGCGUUAGACCGCGCGGAGAAACUGCAGGUAGUAAAUCGAGGUAAUCGGCUGGGAAUAAGGCGACGGCGCGUGUCGCCGCGAAGUGCAUUCCGGCGAAUACAUUUGUAUGCAAAUCCGUGUUUAUUUCCAGCCACGACGACGCCGUCACGCCGCUGAUCCGGCGAGAGGAGGAUCUCCUAUCGCCCGUGCAUGCGCGUGCGCGUUAUCGAGGAAUAGUUCUGUCGCGAUUAUUAACAGAUUAUUUCUAUUUUCGGACAGUAGUUAUUCGCAGAUGCCAUGUCGCGAGGUAAGUGAGGAAAUAAAAGGAAGUUGUUUUCUAGUCGUAGAUUUGUCCUGCCACACUUACACGGUGCGUCGCCGUGUGAGUGCUGAAAAACCAGUUCGUUGUGUGUUAAGCAAGUUCUCUCAAGAAAAAUUGUCAAAAUUCUACUAUUAAUUCCAUACAUUUAUAAUUUUGUCAUAAAUUAUUCAGAAUUUAUAAAGAAAUCAUAAAUGUGUAUGAAAUUGAUAGAAUGACAAUUUUCAUAAAUUAUUAUUUUUAUGAUAUAUAAUUUUCAUAAAUUAAAUAUCAUAAAAAUCCACGUGUUUACUUGAACAACAUAAUCCAUUUAAACUACAAACAUGUGAAUUUGAAACAUAAAUAGCAUAAAUUCUCCUCAAGGAUAUGUCGUUGCGUUUGUUGCGCUCUCAAUAGCGAUGCGUUGCAAUGGACUGUACGUACGGACAGUGGACAGUGCAAACUCAUUAUAAUGAGUACUGACAGGGUGAAAUUUCUCACGCAACGAAAGUUGAGAAAUCUUCUGUUGAUGCGCGGUAUCGAAAUGUUGCCGAGUCAAUCGAACGUGACGUCAUAACGCACUUAAUACGGAGUGAUUAUCUAACUUCUACUGUAAUCCAUGCAUACAACGUGCAUAUCUCAUCCGAAACGCAUGUAUAUAUGUACGAUCCAAAGUACAUCCGUGCGUUUUUCCAAUAAGCGAGUAUUCAUUAAUCAUGAACGUGACUAUUGAAUGUUUGGAAUAACAUUUUAAUUAACUGCCGAGUUUGUGGAACGGCGCGUUCGAUGCACUGGAUACAAUCUCACGCGUGAUAUAAAUAUAUAUAUAUAUAUAUGCGUCAAUAAAUAAUAAUAUAAAGUAAAUUAUAGUGCAAUAUAAAAUUCUUCGAAAUUUAUGAUAGGACAGUUGGACCAAGAGGCGGCAGGAGCAAUUUAAGCGGCAGGUGCGGCAGGCGGCGGCCGAAGCAUCGACCUGGUGGCUGAGGAAAGCUUCUGCGACACCAAAUGCGCGAUGUGCGACGACCUCUUCCAAACAAACUCCCGCGUUCUAUCGUGGUCGUCCUGGCUCUCCACUCGCACCUGAUUCCAGAGAAACAAGCUCGGCUUAAUGCGUGAAUGUAAAACAAACUUGUUUACGCCAAACAAGCGGAAACGAUCAAUGCGUUUUGAGAGAGGAAGUGACUGAUAAUGGCAUCAAAUUUAAACUUCAGAUUAUUAGUCGGUGCGUAAGUUCUUGCCGAUGGGUCGUUGGAUCGCCUCAAAAGAUGACUUUUUCUUUCGACGUGGUAUUUGCCGAAAAGAUAUGGGAAAAAGUAUAAAACGAUGUUACCUUGUUCUUGUUGCUGCUUCCUGAGCUGCCAUUUUGGACUUUCGUUCUAUUCUUCGUUCGCUUGCGAUUGUUCUUGUUGGAAUUUUUGUUGUUGGACAGUGAUUCGGAAGAGGAUGCAAGGAGAACAAGGAGCAUAGAUGAAGGGAUAAGAUGAUGGAAAGAUUGUGCUACUGUCCAGGUACAGUCGAUCGUCCAGAAAACCGUCCACCAACACGCGAUCAUCUACUGGCAAGUAAAAAAGGUACAGCUGAAGCGACAGCAGGCAAGGGCGGCUACGGUUUCUUGUGAGAAACGAGCGACGAAAAAAGAAGCAAAGUAAGAUCGGAAGCUAAGUUGAAAGAAAUCUAAGAAGAAGAAGUGCUACUAUCAAGUGCAUUCUGCAAAUAGCCAGAAUCUGGUCGCUGCUGCUGGUGCUUAAAGGGCUUAAAGCAAAAAUUACAGAAAUGAAACGUUCGCCUGGAGAACGAGGAGCGAAAGCAACACGCUCGAUCAUCAUCGAGCCGGCCGCUCGUCUAACUGUAAAUACCGGGCAACUUCCUCCCGCGGAUGGCAUAGCAAUGGCUACCGAUGGUCCGCCAGCAUCCGCUCUGUCUAAUGCCCGAAGCGGCGGCGUCGCCGUCCGAUUUUUAUACGAUACAUUCCAGUUUCUGGAACGUCGGAUUUCACGCUUCAAGACUACUCCCGACGAUCUUCAGAGAUAUGCGAUAUGCGAUCUUACGUAGUAUCUUUUUUGGUGCGUUCAUGAUAUUAUAUUUAAUCCGAUGGACUAUUGGGAGAGAUUCCGAUCUACGCAGACGAUGCGAGACACCAUAACAAUUUUUGAAAGUCUGCGUAAACUGAGAUAGAAAGUUAGAAAGAAAGACAGGCAGGAAGAAGAAAAAGUGGUACCGCGUCCUAAAAGGAACGGAUAUCUACGGAAGAAAAGAAAGAAGCGCGUCGAAAAUUUAAUUAGAGAUUUAAUGUGAGAAGCUGUGAAGUUAAAUAAACUGGUAACUCUGUAUCUUUUAAGUUUCAUUCUGAUUUUCUUAAGAUUCAAGAUUUAACUGUAAUUGAGAAAUAUCGUGGAAGAAUUUAUGUUUCACCAUAAAUAUCUUAAUUUUUAUUUGCCGAGAAUAUUUAAUGAUAUCCUGAAGAGAGAUUAUUUUUGUUCUUUAAUUCUUUUGGAAAGUUUACGCAGCCUUUCUUCACGGAGAGCGAUGUUCCAUUUCUACUAUUAUUGUGAUGACCGAUAUGGAUCUGUAAACGAUAGACAUCAAUAAAGUGCGAUUAAUACUA